AAAACACCAAGUUAACUUAAAAUUAAGAACCCUGAUGAAUAUUUUAAUUUGGUUUUAUUGAAAAUCUUUGCUUGCUAGUAUUCGUUUCAGUUGUUCGACCAAUUGUACUUUCUUUGAUAAAGGAAUAAAGCCGGAUCGUUGAUCAUGAAAAUGAAAUAGGAAAGAGUCCAACUAGGAAUGUACAAUUACGAGACAUAAAAAAAAAACUAGACCUUGGACGGGCCAAAACAAAAAUACUCGUUCAUAUUUAGCUUUCAACGGAAGAAUCAUCAAAACAACUUCAGUAUCAUAUAUAUAGAUACAUAGAAGAUACGAGGAAAGCUAGCGUCGUAGUUUUUG
rnacentral:lncRNA from 1 species